UGAGGAAUAUUGGUCAAUGGACGCAAGUCUGAACCAGCCAUGCCGCGUGAAGGAUGAAGGCGUUCUGCGUUGUAAACUUCUUUUGCGGGGGAAGAAACCUCUUUUUUCUAAGAGAGCCGACGGUACCCCGAGAAUAAGCACCGGCUAACUCCGUGCCAGCAGCCGCGGUAAUACGGAGGGUGCAAGCGUUAUCCGGAUUUACUGGGUUUAAAGGGUGUGUAGGCGGACUUUUAAGUCCGUGGGUGAAAUCUCCGGGCUCAACCCGGAAACUGCCAUGGAUACUAUUGGUCUUGAAUAUUGUUGAGGUGGGCGGAACGGGUCAUGUAGCGGUGAAAUGCAUAGAUAUGACCCGGAACACCGAUUGCGAAGGCAGCCCACUAAGCAAUGAUUGACGCUGAGGCACGAAAGCGUGGGGAUCAAACAGGAUUAGAUACCCUGGUAGUCCACGCCCUAAACGAUGAUUACUCGACGUUGGCGAUACACCGAUCAGCGUCCAAGCGAAAGCAUUAAGU
rnacentral:rRNA from 1 species